rnacentral:rRNA from 1 species
UUCGGGGGUACUCGAGCGGCGAACGGGUGAGUAACACGUGAGUAAUCUGCCCUUGGCUUCGGGAUAGCCACCGGAAACGGUGAUUAAUACCGGAUACGACACAUCACUGCAUGGUGCGUGUGUGGAAAGUUUUUUCGGCCAGGGAUGUGCUCGCGGCCUAUCAGCUUGUUGGUGGGGUAAUGGCCUACCAAGGCUUCGACGGGUAGCCGGCCUGAGAGGGUGACCGGCCACACUGGGACUGAGACACGGCCCAGACUCCUACGGGAGGCAGCAGUGGGGAAUAUUGGACAAUGGGCGGAAGCCUGAUCCAGCAACGCCGCGUGAGGGAUGACGGCCUUCGGGUUGUAAACCUCUUUCAGCACAGACGAAGCGCAAGUGACGGUAUGUGCAGAAGAAGGACCGGCCAACUACGUGCCAGCAGCCGCGGUAAUACGUAGGGUCCGAGCGUUGUCCGGAAUUAUUGGGCGUAAAGGGCUCGUAGGCGGUUUGUCGCGUCGGGAGUGAAAACACCGGGCUUAACUCGGUGCUUGCUUUCGAUACGGGCAGACUAGAGGUAUUCAGGGGAGAACGGAAUUCCUGGUGUAGCGGUGAAAUGCGCAGAUAUCAGGAGGAACACCGGUGGCGAAG